rnacentral:rRNA from 1 species
UACGAAGGGGGCUAGCGUUGCUCGGAAUCACUGGGCGUAAAGCGCACGUAGGCGGACUCUUAAGUCAGGGGUGAAAUCCCGAGGCUCAACCUCGGAACUGCCUUUGAUACUGGCGAUCUUUGAGUCCGGGAGAGGUGAGUGGAACUCCGAGUGUAGAGGUGAAAUUCGUAGAUAUUCGGAAGAACACCAGUGGCGAAGGCGGCUCACUGGCCCGGUACUGACACUCAUGUGCGAAAGCGUGGGGAGCAAACAGG